rnacentral:rRNA from 1 species
AAGUCAUCAUGGCCCUUACGACCAGGGCUACACACGUGCUACAAUGGCGCAUACAAAGAGAAGCGACCUCGCGAGAGCAAGCGGACCUCAUAAAGUGCGUCGUAGUCCGGAUUGGAGUCUGCAACUCGACUCCAUGAAGUCGGAAUCGCUAGUAAUCGUGGAUCAGAAUGCCACGGUGAAUACGUUCCCGGGCCUUGUACACACCGCCCGUCACACCAUGGGAGUGGGUUGCAAAAGAAGUAGGUAGCUUAACCUUCGGGAGGGCGCUUACCACUUUGUGAUUCAUGACUGGGGUGAAGUCGUAACAAGGUAACCGUAGGGGAACCUGCGGUUGGA